rnacentral:rRNA from 1 species
CCUUCGGGUGGCAGCAGUGAGGAAUCUUGGUCAAUGGGCGCUAGCCUGAUCCAGCCAAGUCGCGUGAAUGAUGACUGCCCUAUGGGUUGUAAACUUCUUUUAUAUGGAAAUAAAGUGCAGUAUGUAUACUGCUUUGCAUGUACCUUAUGAAUAAGGAUCGGCUAACUCCGUUCCAGCAGCCGCGGUAAUACGGAGGAUCCGAGCGUUAUCCGGAUUUAUUGGGUUUAAAGGGAGCGUAGGCGGGUUGUUAAGUCAGUUGUGAAAGUUUUCGGCUCAACCGUAGAAUUGCAUUUGAUACUGGCAUCCUUGAGUACAGAAGAGGUAGGCGGAAUUCGUGGUGUAGCGGUGAAAUGCUUAGAUAUCACGAAGAACUCCGAUCGCGAAGGCAGCCUGCUGGACUGUAACUGACGCUGAUGCUCGAAAGCGUGGGGAGCAAACAGGAUUAGAUACCCCUGUAGUC